AGCCCAGUUAUUAUUACUAGUGUCUAAGUCUCUUAUAAACCCAAUGACAACCCCAUUCCUAUCCGAUGUGGGACUAUUGGGGUGUCACAGACUCCCCCCGUUAAGGUCCUGACGUCCUCGUCAGUCCAAUCACACACAGCCCAAGAUCACCAGGCUAUGUGAGACUCGUCUCGCUAGCCCGUCAUCCAGACCCUGGCUCAGCCGAGACUCGCCACACAUGUCCAGCUGGUGAACCGGCUCUGAUACCAAAUGUAACGACCCAGCCCACUAGCAACAAUAACUCGUUGGGCCCAACCACUGGCCCAAAAUGCUUAAGCCCAGUUAUUAUUACUAGUGUCUAAGUCUCUUAUAAACCCAAUGACAACCCCAUUCCUAUCCGAUGUGGG
rnacentral:lncRNA from 1 species